ACACUCUCUCUCCCUCUCUCCAACUGGCCCGACUACAGAGAUAUCCCUUUGCCCGGGGUCACAAGCAAUCCGCUCUCGUUUCAGUUCACAGGCACAGAGAUAUCUCUUCGACUCUCUCACUCUUCCCGAAAUAAGCGAGAGAGGAAGACGAUUGUCUUCAAGGAAGAUUAUUUCACAUUAUAGGACCAAUCUCCACAGAAGAACGCCCUUCCUUCAGGAACUUGAAGAAUGUAUUAGUGUAAUGUGUACUUGUACAAAUUUGUUUCUGGAAGGUGUUAGUGAGGCCUAUGAUCAAGAGAAAAUUGUUCUAUGCAAGGCCACAAAUCUAUUUUUGCAGUUUCUCUAUCUCUCCACCCUAUAAUAUUCUAGAAGCUUUAUUAAACAUGUUAUUUAUUUGGUUAAAGAUACAUAUGUUAUUGCAUAUAGCAAGUGAUCUAUGGUGAUACCGACUCAAUUAUGAUUUAUAGUGGACUUGAUAUCACCAAAGCCAAAGCAAUUGCAGGAAAGGUCAUUCAAGAGGUGAGGCUCAUGUUUCAACUAAAAGUUAGUUUUGAGCAAAAUAUAUGUUGCUAAUCAGCUGCUAAGAAGACAAUGGUUGAAAGUUUUGUAGCACUGUGGUUACAGUAUUCUUAUUGGAGAUGACAGUUGCACCAGAUAUUGAUCCUGCACAAUGCAGACAUGCUAUGAUUAUCAGAAGUGAAGGAUUGUAUUAUAAAAAAUGCAGUGUAAAGUCUCUCUAUUUGUAUGUGCACUCAAUAUUUUUGGGGUAGCCAACCCCAGCUAUCUGGGACAAGGCUACGGUGAUUAUGAUGAUUCAAUAUUUUGAGGUCCUAUUUUACCGCAUUGUAAGCUUCCACGUUUCCUGUUUAGGUCAACAAGAAGUAUUCAUGUUUAUAUAUUGAUCUUGAUGGAUUAUACAAGAGAAUGCUGCUUCUCAAGAAAAAGAAAUAUGCAGCUGUCAAAGUGCAGUUUAAAGACAGGGAACCAUAUGAGGGGGAGUCAAAUACUUUACCUCUUGUGAUUCUGGAAGUGGAUCUUCUUUGCUGUCCUAGGGUAUGGACUUGUGGCCUUUACAUGCAUGCAGGUCAUUAAACGUAACGGUCUUGACAUGGUCCGUCAUGAUUGGAGUUUGCUAUGUAAAGAACUUGGUGAUUUUUGCCUCAGUCAAAUACUAUCUGGAGGGUAUGCAUUUAAAUAUUUCUAGGCACUACAAAUUCCUUGUUUCAUGAAUUUACUUACAUCUAUUUAUGAUUUAUGUGGUUGCAAAUCAUGUGAAGAUAUUGAGUUGAUACAUAGCUCUCUUAUGAAGGUAAGCUAUCAUAUCAUACAUGCAUUAUAGACAAAUUGUCUGGUCUGCUCAAUAGAUUUUAACUAUCAUUGGACAUGUGAUGGAUGCAGGUUGUGUUGACAUCAUUUUAGCUAUCAUAUCAUAGAUGCAUUACAGACAAAUCCCUCCCGAAGGCUACAAUUUUUUGACAGAAGAUUAUUUGGAACUAAACAUCUUCUAUCACCUUCUUCCUUAUCAAAAAGCACCUGCAUUGCAUCAAUCAGUUCAAAUGAGUACUUCGAUUCAGUGGCCCUGCUGUGUGAUCUGGAGAUUGAAAAUAUGAUCGAUGUGUCCCAAACAUGCUAAUUGCAGGUUCAAUGUCCUUGCAUCUCAGGGAUCACAUCAGAUGGUUAUACAACCACCACCUUCAAGUAUAUACCCUGCCUCCUACAAACAUAUGUAGAAGUGUAACCACCCAUGUAUGAAGUUCUAAUGUGUUUGUUUGACAUGAAAUGGAGAUGAUCCGCAGCAGUUUAGAAGAACAUUUUGGUUCCUGCGGGGAGAUCACAAGGAUUUCAGCUCCAAAGGAUUAUGACACCGGUGCUUCCACAGGGUCUGUAGUCUGUAGAUCUUUCUUUUCUAGUCUUAGUAUCUGUUGCUCCCUUCACUCUUUUCUUUUUGACAAUUG